rnacentral:rRNA from 1 species
GAAUUCAUUUUGUGUUUAGUGGCGGAAGGGUUAGUAAUGCAUGGGUAAUAUACCGUAAACCUGGGAAUAACACUUGGAAACGAGUGCUAAUACCGAAUGUGACUAUUAAGUGGCAUCAUUUUUUAGUUAAAACGGGGGAUUCUGCGAAGAACCUUGUGGUUUAUGAGUGGCCCAUGUGGUAUCAGCUAGUUGGUAGGGUAAUGGCCUACCAAGGCUAAGACGCCUAGGCGGACUGAGAGGUCGAUCGCCAACACUGGGACUGAGAACUGCCCAGACUCCUACGGGAGGCUGCAGUCGAGAAUCUUUCGCAAUGGGCGCAAGCCUGACGAAGCGACGCCGUGUGUGUGAUGAAGGUCUUAGGAUCGUAAAGCACUUUUGUCUGGGAUCAAGUUUUAGGGGUGAAUAUCCCCUGAAGUUGAGAGUACCAGAAGAAUAAGCGCCGGCUAACUGCGUGCCAGCAGCUGCGGUAAUACGUGGGGCGCAAGCAUUAAUCGGAUUUACUGGGUGUAAAGGGUGCGUAGGCUGUUUAUCAAGUUGGACGUGAAAUCUUGGGGCUCACCCCCAGGCUGCUUCCAAAACUGUUAGACUAGAGUUCAAGAGGGGGAAAUGGAAUUCCGCAAGUAGCGGUGAAAUGCGUAGAUAUGCGGAGGAACACCAGUGGCGAAGGCGAUUUCCUGGCUUGAUACUGACGCUGAGGCACGAAAGCAAGGGUAGCAAACAGGAUUAGAUACCCUGG